AAAAUUGCUAGUUGCAGAAGGCGCUGCUUCCUCGGUAUCUGGCACACCAAACGACAUGUGCCCUGAGCUCCUUGCCGGCAUACCCUAUGGCUAUAAAUCUGAUAUAUGGUCGCUUGGAUACUGUAUGUUUGACAUUGCUGCACAUCAACCCUCGUUUAAAGCAUCUGUGAGUUGAUUUUUCAGC